rnacentral:rRNA from 1 species
CCUACGGGCGGCUGCAGUGAGGAAUAUUGGUCAAUGGACGAGAGGCUGAACCAGCCAAGUAGCGUGAAGGAUGACUGCCCUAUGGGUUGUAAACUUCUUUUAUAAAGGAAUAAAACGAGGCACGUGUGCCUUUUUGCAUGUACUUUAUGAAUAAGGAUCGGCUAACUCCGUGCCAGCAGCCGCGGUAAUACGGAGGAUCCGAGCGUUAUCCGGAUUUAUUGGGUUUAAAGGGAGCGUAGAUGGGUUGUUAAGUCAGUUGUGAAAGUUUGCGGCUCAACCGUAAAAUUGCAAUUGAUACUGGCAGUCUUGAGUACACUUGAGGUAGGCGGAAUUCGUGGUGUAGCGGUGAAAUGCUUAGAUAUCACGAAGAACCCUGAUUGCGAAGGCAGCUUACUAACCUGUGACUGACAUUGAUGCUCGAAAGUGUGGGUAUCAAACAGGAUUAGAUACCCUUGUAGUC